rnacentral:rRNA from 1 species
CUAAGUUUGACGGCGACCGGCGCACGGGUGAGUAACACGUAUCCAACCUGCCGAUGACUCGGGGAUAGCCUUUCGAAAGAAAGAUUAAUACCCGAUGGCAUAGUUCUUCCGCAUGGUGGAACUAUUAAAGAAUUUCGGUCAUCGAUGGGGAUGCGUUCCAUUAGGUUGUUGGCGGGGUAACGGCCCACCAAGCCUUCGAUGGAUAGGGGUUCUGAGAGGAAGGUCCCCCACAUUGGAACUGAGACACGGUCCAAACUCCUACGGAGGCAGCAUG